rnacentral:rRNA from 2 species
GGUUGGUGGUGGAAAGCUCCGGCGGUGCAGGAUGAGCCCGCGGCCUAUCAGCUUGUUGGUGGGGUAAUGGCCUACCAAGGCGACGACGGGUAGCCGGCCUGAGAGGGCGACCGGCCACACUGGGACUGAGACACGGCCCAGACUCCUACGGGAGGCAGCAGUGGGGAAUAUUGCACAAUGGGCGAAAGCCUGAUGCAGCGACGCCGCGUGAGGGAUGACGGCCUUCGGGUUGUAAACCUCUUUCAGCAGGGAAGAAGCGAAAGUGACGGUACCUGCAGAAGAAGCGCCGGCUAACUACGUGCCAGCAGCCGCGGUAAUACGUAGGGCGCAAGCGUUGUCCGGAAUUAUUGGGCGUAAAGAGCUCGUAGGCGGCUUGUCGCGUCGGAUGUG